rnacentral:rRNA from 1 species
AUUGAACGCUGGCGGCCGGCUUAACACAUGCAAGUCGAGCGAGCGGCGGACGGGUGAGUAAUGUCUGGGAAACUGCCUGAUGGAGGGGGAUAACUACUGGAAACGGUAGCUAAUACCGCAUACCAUCAGAUGUGCCCAGAUGGGAUUAGCUAGUAGGUGGGGUAAAGGCUCACCUAGGCGACGAUCCCUAGCUGGUCUGAGAGGAUGACCACGCACACUGGAGCUGGGACACGGUCCAGACUCCUACGGGGGGCAGCAGUGGGGAAUAAUGCAGAAUGGGCGGAAGCCUGGUGCAGCCAUGCCGCGUGUAUGAAGAGAGCCUUCGGGUUGUGAAGUACUUUCAGCGGGGAGGCGUUACCCGCAGAAGAAACACCGGCUAACUCCGGGCCAGCAGCCGCGGUAAUAC